rnacentral:lncRNA from 1 species
GGACAUCCAGAGGAGAGGGAGAGAGAAACAGGGACAUGGAAAUCCAGGGAGAAAGGCCUGACAUAUGCGAUGACAGUUUUAUCAUCUCCUUUAGUUCUUCUAAAAGUAUUUGUUCCUAUGCUCUUGAAUCUCAUUUGAGGUCAAGAUGCAAUUUCAAUUCAAGCUAAUAACAAGGGCUCUGAGAGUGGUGUUCUGCUUGCUGGAGUCAAAGCAAUGCUCAGCUGUCUAUGCUGAGAUCAGUCUCUCAGUUCCAGAUGCAUAAAACUGGAGAAGCGGUCCACAGCUCAAUCACCCACCUUCUCUUCCAAAGAAUCCACAAGUACUAGAGGGACAGCAUCAGCAACACGCCGGGCGGAAUCACUCGGGGGCCUUGGAAGACCUGUUCUAUUUGCUUCUGAAGGUGAGAGAGUGGAGGACCCCAGAGAGUCUUUCCUCCCAUGGAAAAUUCUCAUGACUGAGCAGCUUUAAGCUCUUUGGAGCCCUACGGGGCUGAGAGGGCUACUUACAAGAGAGGUUGCCCAGACUCUCCCAAGGCAGUUGCAUAGCCUGAUUUUAGAAUAAUAUGUGGCCACAAAAAGAAGUCAGUCUGCUGGGAUUCCUCUGGAGAGCCUGAGAAGGGGGACAGG